rnacentral:rRNA from 1 species
UAAACUUACUGCUACUUUUAAUCAAAUUUACACAUGCAAGCAUCCACACACCAGUGAAAUACGCCCUAACACAGUAUAAAUGGAGCAGGUAUCAGGCACAACCGCCAGCCAAAAACACCAAGCUUUGCCACACCCACACGGGCCCUCAGCAGUGAUAAACAUUAAGCAAUAAGCGAACACACCAAACUAAAGCUUGACUUAGUUAUGAUUAACAGGGCCGGUAAACCUCGUGCCAGCCACCGCGGUUACACGGCGGGCCCAAAGCAGCAGACUCUCGGCGUAAAUAGUGGCCAGAAUAAUUACCCCCACAUUAAAAACUAAACCAUACCCUAACCGUAAAACACAGGCUAAAUGAAAUCAAGCACUUUUAAUAACAGGUAAUUUGACCCACGAAAACUAAGAAACAAACUAGGAUUAGAUACCCUACUAUGCUUAGUCGUCAAUAUGAUAUUAUAGUACUAAAAUAUCCGCCAGAAAACUACGAGCGAAAAGCUUAAAACUCAAAGGACUUGGCGGUGCUCCAUACCGACUUAGAGGAGCCUGUCCUAUAAUCGAUACCCCACGCUAAACCC